UCCACUGAUAAUUGGUUUCAGGAUAUUCUCCGACAUUUCGGUCUUGUCGGUUUAUAUUCUUCUGCUUACAUGACCAUCUCCCAUGGCAUGUAGACAAACUUUGUAGAGAGGUGGAAUUCAAAUACUUCGUCUUUCCAUCUUCCUAUAGGUGAGAUGACCAUCACCUUGGAUGACGUCUCACGCCUCCUGCAUCUUUCCAUCAGGGGAAAAUUAUUGGGUUAUAUAAGGAUCGUUCGAGAGGAAGGUGUCGAGAUGAUGGUCACCCAUUUGGGGGCUGACCCAACUGAGACCUCAGAAGAGGCGGUUGCCACAAGAGGUGCUCAUGCAAGAUUUAGCUUUUAUUUGGAAAAGCUUUAUAAAGACCACCUGCAGUGGGUUAUGGAUGUCGAAGGUGAUGAUAUGCAAGUUAAGGACCAUCAGACUUGUGCAUUGAAGUGUUACCUCUUGUUCUUGGUUGACACGACCAUGUUUAUGGAUAAAAGUGCAACCUAUGUCGAUGUGGUCUAGCUUCAGUAUUACAUCGACUUGACUGUGAUUCACGAGUACAACCGGGGGCUGUCUGUUUGAUACUCAAAGUUGGGUGAGUGUUGUCUUUGGAAGACAAAGCAGGUGAUAGGGAGUUGCACGUUGCUUACGGGAUGGAUCAUCUCCCACUUCCCUCGCAUCAUCGGGUUUGAAGUUGCACCUGCCUACAUAGAGGAUUGGCAUGCGUGCUGUCGUAUUUAUUUCGUACAUGGAGAAUAAUGUGAUUGAGCCAUUCAAAGUGCAUCUUGAUUGUCUUGUAACAAAUGAUAUUUUCUUUUGGGGGGUCACCGCGAGACGUGUCCAUUUAACGUCAUAUUUGUAUACUUCGUAUGGCUAGCAUCUGGGUCAUCUCAUAUGUAUACUUAUCUGCUCGAGCGAGUGAUGCGGAAGUUUGACUAUAUGCAUAUUAUUUUGAGAUCCCCUAUGAGUCCACUCCUCCCACCGUCUUCCACAAAGAUCUCGAUGAGAUACUCGACGAUUUCGAAAGUCACAUUGUACUAGAGGAGUAUUGUAGGGUACUGUCAUAUCCCAAUUUUUUCCCAUUCUUUUCUCCAUUUUUUCUGUCUCAUGCUUAAAUCAUCUGCAUGCGUGGUUAUCAGAUUAUCUAAUUAGGUCAUUCAUUUAACGUUUCAUUCAUCGCAUUUCGCAUAAUUCGUCAUUAGGCCAAAGGUUCACUAAUAAUGGAUUUAAUCAAUUUAAGUGGGUUCGAAUAU